GUGUCACCUCAGAAUCUGCAUCAUUGCUCUCUGAUACAGAGCCAUCUCCUUCUAUGGGUUCCUUCUCUGAUGAAAGCUCAAAGGAAUGUUCUGACUCCGAGCCCAUCAUUUUAAUCUUUGUAGAAUCUGCAGCAGGUAAUGAUGGUCAGAAAUAUUCUCAAUUACAAACAUUAGAGUUAAGAGUACAUCUCUCAUCUCAUCUAGAAGGUCUUUGAUCUCAUCUAAAAACAAGGCUGGUUUUCCAGGCUUACUGAUUCUAUGGGACAAUAAGCUAUAAUUUUCACCCAGGCAAUUGGCGCAUGUUCUCCAUUACCUCACAUCAAACGAUAAGUUGUUUUUGAAAAAAUGGCAUACACUGUCUUGUGGAAAAAGAAAACAAAAAGCAUUUAGGAGAUGAUCCAUCUCUAUGACCUUGUUCUUAUACUCAGCAUGCACUAUAAAGCAGCCAUUAGCAAUCAUCAAUCAUAUAAGAUAACCUACUUAUACUACAUGGGAUGAUUGAUAGGCAUUACCAUUUGCAGUCACAUCUGGAGUAGGGGAAGGACUUCUGCUAAUUGUUGUUGUGGAGGUUUCUGAGUCCCCCCUCUUUUGUUCAGCAGUUAAAACAGAAGACAGCGCAGCAACAGCAGCUGCUCGCUGUGACCCUUGGUUUGACCGUGAAGGCUUUGGUGCUGUAGUUUUG
rnacentral:lncRNA from 1 species